rnacentral:rRNA from 1 species
UUGAACGCUGGUGGCAGGCCUAACACAUGCAAGUCGAACGGUAACAGGAAACAGCUUGCUGUUUCGCUGACGAGUGGCGGACGGGUGAGUAAUGUCUGGGAAACUGCCUGAUGGAGGGGGAUAACUACUGGAAACGGUAGCUAAUACCGCAUAACGUCGCAAGACCAAAGAGGGGGACCUUCGGGCCUCUUGCCAUCGGAUGUGCCCAGAUGGGAUUAGCUAGUAGGUGGGGUAACGGCUCACCUAGGCGACGAUCCCUAGCUGGUCUGAGAGGAUGACCAGCCACACUGGAACUGAGACACGGUCCAGACUCCUACGGGAGGCAGCAGUGGGGAAUAUUGCACAAUGGGCGCAAGCCUGAUGCAGCCAUGCCGCGUGUAUGAAGAAGGCCUUCGGGUUGUAAAGUACUUUCAGCGGGGAGGAAGGGAGUAAAGUUAAUACCUUUGCUCAUUGACGUUACCCGCAGAAGAAGCACCGGCUAACUCCGUGCCAGCAGCCGCGGUAAUACGGAGGGUGCAAGCGUUAAUCGGAAUUACUGGGCGUAAAGCGCACGCAGGCGGUUUGUUAAGUCAGAUGUGAAAUCCCCGGGCUCAACCUGGGAACUGCAUCUGAUACUGGCAAGCUUGAGUCUCGUAGAGGGGGGUAGAAUUCCAGGUGUAGCGGUGAAAUGCGUAGAGAUCUGGAGGAAUACCGGUGGCGAAGGCGGCCCCCUGGACGAAGACUGACGCUCAGGUGCGAAAGCGUGGGGAGCAAACAGGAUUAGAUACCCUGGUAGUCCACGCCGUAAACGAUGUCGACUUGGAGGUUGUGCCCUUGAGGCGUGGCUUCCGGAGCUAACGCGUUAAGUCGACCGCCUGGGGAGUACGGCCGCAAGGUUAAAACUCAAAUGAAUUGACGGGGGCCCGCACAAGCGGUGGAGCAUGUGGUUUAAUUCGAUGCAACGCGAAGAACCUUACCUGGUCUUGACAUCCACGGAAGUUUUCAGAGAUGAGAAUGUGCCUUCGGGAACCGUGAGACAGGUGCUGCAUGGCUGUCGUCAGCUCGUGUUGUGAAAUGUUGGGUUAAGUCCCGCAACGAGCGCAACCCUUAUCCUUUGUUGCCAGCGGUCCGGCCGGGAACUCAAAGGAGACUGCCAGUGAUAAACUGGAGGAAGGUGGGGAUGACGUCGAGUCAUCAUGGCCCUUACGACCAGGGCUACACACGUGCUACAAUGGCGCAUACAAAGAGAAGCGACCUCGCGAGAGCAAGCGGACCUCAUAAAGUGCGUCGUAGUCCGGAUUGGAGUCUGCAACUCGACUCCAUGAAGUCGGAAUCGCUAGUAAUCGUGGAUCAGAAUGCCACGGUGAAUACGUUCCCGGGCCUUGUACACACCGCCCGUCACACCAUGGGAGUGGGUUGCAAAAGAAGUAGGUAGCUUAACCUUCGGGAGGGCGCUUACCACUUUGUGAUUCAUGACUGGGGUG